CAUUAUUUAACAGCGCCAGAUCUGUUUUACAGAUGACGAGGAAAAGAGCUUAUCGAAAUAUUCGGCGGGUGGCUCUAGGGUCUGCACUCUAAAGACAAGAACAAAAACAAGCUGCAAAGUUUGUAACAAAAAUCUUGUCGCGCAGUUAG
rnacentral:ncRNA from 2 species